rnacentral:rRNA from 1 species
AUUGAACGCUGGCGGCAGGCUUAACACAUGCAAGUCGAGCGAGAGGCGGACGGGUGAGUAAUGACUGGGACACUGCCUGAUGGAGGGGGAUAACUACUGGAAACGGUAGCUAAUACCGCAUUCCAUCAGUUGUGCCCAGAUGGGAUUAGCUAGUAGGUGGGGUAAUGGAUCACCUAGGCGACGAUCCCUAGCUGGUCUGAGAGGAUGACCAGCCGCACUGGAACUGAGACACGGUCCAGACUCCUACGGGAGGCAGCAGUGGGGAAUAUUGCACAAUGGGCGAAAGCCAGAUGCAGCCAUGCCGCGUGUGUGAAGAAGGCCUUCGGGUUGUAAAGCUCUGUUGGCGAGGAGGCGUUACUCGCAGAAGAAGCACCGGCUAACUCCGUGCCAGCAGCCGCGGUAAUAC